rnacentral:rRNA from 1 species
GGCGGCGUGCUUAACACAUGCAAGUCGAACGGUUCAGAAGAGCUUGCUCUUUUGAUCAGUGGCGAACGGGUGAGUAACACGUGAGCAACCUACCCUUGACUCUGGGAUAACAGUUGGAAACAGCUGCUAAUACCGGAUACGACCUCGGCCGACAUCUGCUGAGGUGGAAAGUUCUGGCGGUCAAGGAUGGGCUCGCGGCCUAUCAGCUAGUUGGUGAGGUAACGGCUCACCAAGGCUUCGACGGGUAGCCGGCCUGAGAGGGCGACCGGCCACACUGGGACUGAGAUACGGCCCAGACUCCUACGGGAGGCAGCAGUGGGGAAUAUUGCACAAUGGGCGAAAGCCUGAUGCAGCAACGCCGCGUGCGGGAUGACGGCCUUCGGGUUGUAAACCGCUUUCAGCUCCGACGAAGCGCAAGUGACGGUAGGAGCAGAAGAAGGACCGGCCAACUACGUGCCAGCAGCCGCGGUGAUACGUAGGGUCCGAGCGUUGUCCGGAAUUAUUGGGCGUAAAGGGCUUGUAGGCGGUUUGUCACGUCGGAAGUGAAAACUCAGGGCUCAACCCUGAGCCUGCUUCCGAUACGGGCAAACUAGAGGAAUGCAGGGGAGAAUGGAAUUCCUGGUGGAGCGGUGGAAUGCGCAGAUAUCAGGAGGAACACCAGUGGCGAAGGCGGUUCUCUGGGCAUUUCCUGACGCUGAGAAGCGAAAGCGUGGGGAGCAAACAGGCUUAGAUACCCUGGUAGUCCACGCCGUAAACGGUGGGCACUAGGUGUGGGACUCAUUCCACGAGUUCCGUGCCGUAGCUAACGCAUUAAGUGCCCCGCCUGGGGAGUACGGCCGCAAGGCUAAAACUCAAAGGAAUUGACGGGGGCCCGCACAAGCGGCGGAGCAUGCGGAUUAAUUCGAUGCAACGCGAAGAACCUUACCUGGGUUUGACAUAUGCCGGAAAGCUGCAGAGAUGUAGCCCCCGCAAGGUCGGUAUACAGGUGGUGCAUGGCUGUCGUCAGCUCGUGUCGUGAGAUGUUGGGUUAAGUCCCGCAACGAGCGCAACCCUCGUCCUAUGUUGCCAGCGGGUAAUGCCGGGGACUCAUAGGAGACUGCCGGGGUCAACUCGGAGGAAG